AGUCUUAACUGGGCGUUAAGUUGCAGGGUAUAGACCCGAAACCCGGUGAUCUAGCCAUGGGCAGGUUGAAGGUUGGGUAACACUAACUGGAGGACCGAACCGACUAAUGUUGAAAAAUUAGCGGAUGACUUGUGGCUGGGGGUGAAAGGCCAAUCAAACCGGGAGAUAGCUGGUUCUCCCCGAAAGCUAUUUAGGUAGCGCCUCGUGAACUCAUCUUCGGGGGUAGAGCACUGUUUCGGCUAGGGGGUCAUCCCGACUUACCAACCCGAUGCAAACUGCGAAUACCGAAGAAUGUUAUCACGGGAGACACACGGCGGGUGCUAACGUCCGUCGUGAAGAGGGAAACAACCCAGACCGCCAGCUAAGGUCCCAAAGUCACAGUUAAGUGGGAAACGAUGUGGGAAGGCUCAGACAGCCAGGAUGUUGGCUUAGAAGCAGCCAUCAUUUAAAGAAAGCGUAAUAGCUCACUGGUCGAGUCGGCCUGCGCGGAAGAUGUAACGGGGCUAAACUGUGCACCGAAGCUGCGGCAGCGACGCUUAUGCGUUGUUGGGUAGGGGAGCGUUCUGUAAGCCUGCGAAGGUGUCCUGUGAGGGAUGCUGGAGGUAUCAGAAGUGCGAAUGCUGACAUAAGUAACGAUAAUGCGGGUGAAAAGCCCGCUCGCCGGAAGACCAAGGGUUCCUGUCCAACGUUAAUCGGGGCAGGGUGAGUCGACCCCUAAGGCGAGGCCGAAAGGCGUAGUCGAUGGGAAACGGGUUAAUAUUCCCGUACUUGGUGUUACUGCGAAGGGGGGACGGAGAAGGCUAUGUUGGCCGGGCGACGGUUGUCCCGGUUUAAGCGUGUA
rnacentral:rRNA from 1 species